AUACGUAGGGGGCGAGCGUUGUCCGGAAUGAUUGGGCGUAAAGGGCGCGUAGGCGGCCCGGUAAGUCUGGAGUGAAAGUCCUGUUUUUAAGCGGGGAAUUGCUUUGGAUACUGUCGGGCUUGAGUGCAGGAGAGGUAAGUGGAAUUCCCAGUGUAGCGGUGAAAUGCGUAGAGAUUGGGAGGAACACCAGUGGCGAAGGCGACUUACUGGACUGUAACUGACGCUGAGGCGCGAAAGUGUGGGGAGCAAACAGGAUUAGAUACCCUGGUAGUCCACACUGUAAACGAUGAAUGCUAGGUGUAGGGGGUAUCGACCCCUUCUGUGCCGCAGUCAACACAAUAAGCAUUCCGCCUGGGGAGUACGGCCGCAAGGUUGAAACUCAAAGGAAUUGACGGGG
rnacentral:rRNA from 1 species